AUUGAACGCUGGCGGAAUGCUUUACACAUGCAAGUCGAACGGCAGCACGGGGGCAGCCCUGGUGGCGAGUGGCGAACGGGUGAGUAAUACAUCGGAACGUGCCCGGUCGUGGGGGAUAACGUAGCGAAAGUUACGCUAAUACCGCAUACGAUCUGAGGAUGAAAGCGGGGGACCUUCGGGCCUCGCGCGAUCGGAGCGGCCGAUGUCAGAUUAGGUAGUUGGUGGGGUAAAGGCCUACCAAGCCGACGAUCUGUAGCUGGUCUGAGAGGACGACCAGCCACACUGGGACUGAGACACGGCCCAGACUCCUACGGGAGGCAGCAGUGGGGAAUUUUGGACAAUGGGCGCAAGCCUGAUCCAGUCAUUCCGCGUGCAGGACGAAGGCCUUCGGGUUGUAAACUGCUUUUGUACGGAACGAAAAGGCUCUGGCUAAUACCUGGGGCUCAUGACGGUACCGUAAGAAUAAGCACCGGCUAACUACGUG
rnacentral:rRNA from 1 species